rnacentral:rRNA from 1 species
UAGGGAAUUCUUGCGCAAUGGGCGAAAGCCUGACGCAGCGACGCCGCGUGAGGGAUGAAGGCCUUUGGGUCGUAAACCUCUGUCGGAGGGGAAGAAAUUCUGACGGUACCCUCCAAGGAAGCCCCGGCUAACUACGUG